UAUAAAAAUCAAAUCUUCACAAAUCAUUGUAUAAAGGAUGCCUUUAACUUUAAUUUUGAUUUUAGUCAUCAUUGCUCAUUCGCUGUUUAUCUAUGACGUCACCAAAAAUGACCUAAUUCCCGCAAAUUUGCAAACAAAUGAAAAUGAAAUAUUCUCAUUUUUGCUCUAUAUUUAGCAUUCGGAAGUAUAGAGCGCAGGUCUGCUCGAGUAUGAUUUUAAAUGUUUUUCUUCAGAUAGUUAUACACAUUGUACUAAAACAUGGUACUUGAGCAAGCCUGCGCUCGAUGUUUCCAAGUCGCAAAACCAUCGGAAAACACCCAUAAUUUGCUACAGAACAUCAAUUUAUCAGAAUAAUGCAAUACCUUCAUGACGUCAUUUCUACAUUAUGACGUCACUGUGGUGAUAACCUUUUACACCUUUAUUUCCAUUAUGAUUUCAACUAUAUUUCACCUUAUUUUUAAAGCCCUUUCUAAAACUUUGAAUUUAAAUUUUAAAAAAAUGCAUAAUACCGCACAUAGUCCUUACUUUUCUUUAACUUAACUGUGCUAACCGUUAGAUUUAAAUCAAAAUCAAACAUUUCUGAAAAUGAUAAUCAUAUUUUGCGUUAUAAUUAUGAAAUAUUUGCUGAAAAUUCCCCGUCAUCCUUUUCUUUCACUUUUUUAUACAUUUUAUACAGAUUGUUAUUUAUUCAAUAAACAACAUAUUAAAUUCCU
rnacentral:sRNA from 1 species